AAACACCAUUUUCAUUUGUUUCUCUUUCUCCUUUUCUGAUAAAACUUUUUCCUUCUCUCUCUAUCCGUUCUCUCUCUCUCUCAGGUACAAGAAAAAACCAUAGCACUGAAUCCUCAUUCCCACCCCAUUUGAAUUUUCAUCAAACCCUAAUUUCCCAACAUCAUUUUGAACUAGAUCCACACAUCUGCCGGCGGCGUCUCUCUUUCUGGUGACCAAACGACAACCACCAUUUUCAGAUCCAGCACAAGGUUUGAAAAAUGGAAUGAAUCUUCCUUGAUUUACUAGCUUUCUAUUACACAAUGAUUUUCGGUUGAUUUACUGCUCUAUUGAAAUACUGACAUUCAUGUUUUUCAACUCUCCAUAUUGAAACUUCAUGAUUUGUCAAAGAUGACGUUACAAGAAGCUUUCACUCUAGCUCCUGCUUUUAGUCAUUAUCUUACUAUGAUGGGUAUAACUGAAACUCACCACAGGUAAUGGAUAUACUAAGACUUUGUUUGAAUUAACUUAUCUGAUAAGCUGAUCUCAUCUUAUUUUCAUACGCUAUUCAAGUCCAAGAUAGGUAAUGGAUAUUGUGAUGAUGUCUUUAACCAAGCUUGUGUAGGGUGGAGUUUCCCCGGAUGACCUUUAUAACACAGUCUGCAAGCAGGUUCUUUUUUUUAUUAUUUCCAUGUCUAUAUUGAUGGUGUUUCAAUAAGUAAUGCAGUUCUAGAGUUCCAGCUUCUUUUACAAUUUGAAUUUCUGUUGCUUCAGGAGGUUGAAAUUGUUCUUACUGCUCACCCCACACAAAUUAAUCGCCGCAUGCUUCAGUACAAACACAUUAAAAUUGCUAUGAGUUUUUUUUACUUUGUUUGGCCAUUGUAAAGAUUCCAAUGGUUUGAAGUUUUUCAAAUUCAAUUAGCAUAUAAGCACAUGUCUAACUACUUUUCCUUCUUAUUGUGUAGCAUCUCUUGGAUUAUAACGACCGACCUGCUCUUAGCCCUGAAGAUCGAAAAAUGCUGAUUAAAGAUUUGGUACAUCUUCUACUCUAGAAAGACACUGUACUAUUAGAUGAUAGAAACUAUCGGCUCAAUAUUGGCAGACAGAUGAGCUUAGGCGCAAAAACCCACUCCAGUUGAUGAAGCUAGAGCUGAUGUUGUAUGAUUUGAUUAUCUUUUCUUCGCCUACUUUUAGAAUAAAAUUCACGUGUAUGUGAUGGGAAGAAUGAUGCAGAGGUGUCACUUAUGCUAGAGGAAAACCUGAAAAUGCAGCUGCCAAGAGUCUGAAUAGAGUUUGGAUAUUCAUAUAUGCAAUUUGUUACAGCUAUUUAUUAUAAUAAUAUUUAUUUAUUGUGAAAGAUUUGUUGUUAAUGGUAUAAACUUAAGUUAAAGGAAUAGAUUCUAAUGCAGUAUUGUGAUAGAUUUAUUAUUUGCUAAUUGAUAUACUUUCUUUUUGUAUUGUGAGACGUUCUGAUAAAACUGAUUUUACAGUAGCCCGAUUAAAAUAAUUAGAGAAUUCAAUAGUGUUAUGCUUUCCUUUUGUCAAGACAGUUGGCAGUUAUAGCAGCCGUUUGUUGGAAUGCGGGGUUCGCUCAUCGCAGUAUGCUUUGCUUCUCUGUGAGUUUCAGGCGUGCGUCUUAAUGCAAAUUCUAGAAGGUUGGCAUAGUGUAUUUACAGGUUGAGUUAUUGGGCUCCCUGCAGAACUCUAGCAGAUUUGGUCCUCUGACUGUAUCUGUUGUGUUCUUGCAACCUUAACAAUUAGAUGUUUUUUUUGUGUUACAGUGUGUCAAGGAUAAGAGGUUAAUCCAACAGUACAACGAUAAUGAUAACAGCUUUUGUUUUCAUUUCUUCAUUAUUAUUUGGAGCCAUUCAAUAUCAGUAUCAUUUUCUGUAGUUUGAAUAUACAUUACACAUUUACAUGAUUUCAAACACUGUGAUACAAUAAAAGAGUGCAUCUAUACAGAAACAUGCAGAGCUAGGAAACAUAUGGAAAACUUUGUGUUGAAAGAACAUGUUAGACCUGUAUCAACAAUUGUUGGAGUCUCCCCCGCAGUGAGAGUCAAAUGAUUCAAUAAAGAUAAUCUUCACAGAGAUGUCAAUAUCAAAAAGAUGUAUAUGUAGUAACACCAUCCACACAUCAUAAAUUAUAUAGUAAAGUAGAAAAUACCAAUACUGAUUCGCGUAUGACUCAGAAUCUAAAUUAUGUCUGGGUAUAAGGAAAUUUAAUCUCUAAAAAGUAGCUAGCAUAUAAACUAAAGCAAUCGAGCAACAAUCAUUUUGAUUUCUAAUGAAAUACACAUUUGAAGACCCAACUAGCAAACAAAAGAUGCAUCUAUACGUAUUUGUAAUUUGUAUAGAUUCACAUAGGAUUGUGGCAUUGCCUUUGCCUCACAUAUUCAAAAACCAAAAGCUUAUUUACUCUUAAUCAAUCAAACUAGGGGGCCAACGAAUGUAGUAUCCUAAAAUUU